AUUAUUCUCAAAAUUACUUUGCAAAAGGCUAAAUAUUAAUUUUGCAUUUUCUCAAUCAUGAGAGUUCUUUGAAACGUUCAUGGUACAGAGUAGUAUGAAAUGGUACACCAGGCAGUACUGUGAAUUCUCCAUUAUUCAAGAGUCUUUCCUCAAGCAGAGACUUCAGGCAAUUUGUGACUUUGUGAUCAAUUGCUUGUAGCUGUUUUUUGGUUUUCCCACUUACAAAGCUACGAACACUGUUUUUGUUUGUUUGUUUUUUAGGAUAAUAAUUUAGGCCGGCUCUUGAGGAGAAAAUUGCAAUAAUAAUCAGUGAUUGCAACACGUUUUAGAAAAACGUAAGAUUGAAAAAUAGAUUUACUGUGUUCACCAACAGAUUCACUGAAAACUAAGAGACAGUCCUGGAGUGUGGUCUAGCGAAGAAGAUGAUUCACCUGCAGAUAAUUUAGAAUGUUCCGUGGUUUUUGCUCUGAUGGAGUGUGAAGAGAUGAGAUGGGGAGCAUUAACUAUUGGAAGGAUCCAUUUUAAGGACAUAUUAUAUCAGGAUCUAGAUAGAUAUCAGAGCAUCUUGGGAGAUUUAGGAAACAGGUGCAGAAACAGGUGAGUGGAAUACUGCUUAUUACUGCCCU
rnacentral:lncRNA from 1 species